GAUCAGAAAGGAAAGCAUUUCCGAGUAUGGGUGGAUAGAGUUUCUGCUUCAAAGAUUGGUUCAGAUGGUUGGCUGGUGAAGUUCGACAAGUGGGAACUAAUAGACGGGGAGCAGCAAUGUUGUCUGACUACUGCUGUGUUGAAUGUGAAGCCCGAGACCCCGAGUGGAUUCAUCUUAUCGCAUGUGCAUCAGACAUGGCUUCAAGGAUAUGCUGCGACCGAUGUUGUUUCCUGGACCGUGUAAGUUGGCAUGACUGCAACGAUCAGACGAUCCCGUCUGCUUAUACAGAAUAAGUUGGGUAUGCGUGAGUCUAUAUUUUCUAAUCUGUAGUUCCAAUGUUGGUGCGAUCGAA
rnacentral:misc_RNA from 1 species